rnacentral:lncRNA from 1 species
CGAAGGUGGUGGUGGCCGAAAUGGAUUAGGUGGGAAAAUCGAAGGUGGUGGUGCAAACGGGUUUGGGGGGAAAAUCGAAGGUGGCGGUGCAAACGGGUUUGGAGGAAAAAUCGAAGGUGGAGCAAACGGGUUUGGAGGAAAAAUCGAAGGUGGAGCAAACGGGUUUGGAGGAAAAAACAAUGGAGGUGGGAAAAAUAACUUAUUGUCUUUUGGGUUUUUGUUUGACUUUGCUUUGUUUUGCAGGUGUCUUGGUGAUCUCUUCUGUUUGUGUCGAUGAUCUCUUCUUCUUGCUUGCCUAAUAUGUUUCAGAAUCCGUCUAGUCUUUGCACAUCUCACCUCAGAGAAAGGACACAAAACCUGAAAUUCUCUGUGAUGACCUUUUGUCUCCUGUCUGAAUCUGGUGCAAUC